rnacentral:lncRNA from 1 species
CCCCACGUCUCUUCUCCCCAGUAAACCCUGCGGCUUUGAGGCGACCUACCUGGAGCUGGCAAGCUCUUUGGAGGAGGAGUAUCCGGGCAUCGAGAUUGAGUCGCGACUCGGGGGGACAGGGGCCUUCGAGAUUGAGAUCAAUGGGCAGCUGGUGUUCUCCAAGCUGGAGAAUGGGGGUUUUCCUUAUGAGAAAGAUCUCAUGGAAGCUAUCCGAAGAGCCAGCAAUGGAGAACCCUUAGAAAAGAUCACCAACAGCCGGCCUCCCUGUGUCAUCCUGUGACUAAAAACGACUCUUGGAAGCUUGGUUCUGGGG